AUUGAACGCUGGCGACAUGCCUUACACAUGCAAGUCGAACGGCAGCACGGGUGCUUGCACCUGGUGGCGAGUGGCGAACGGGUGAGUAAUACAUCGGAACAUGUCCUGUAGUGGGGGAUAGCCCGGCGAAAGCCGGAUUAAUACUGCAUCCGAUCUACGGCUGAAAGCGGGGGCCCUUCGGGUCUCGCGCUUUCGGGUUGGCCGAUGGCGGAUUAGCUAGUUGGUGGGGUAAAGGCCUACCAAGGCGACGAUCAGUAGCUGGUCUGAGAGGACGACCAGUCACACUGGGACUGAGACACGGCCCAGACUCCUACGGGAGGCAGCAGUGGGGAAUUUUGGACAAUGGGCGAAAGCCUGAUCCAGCAAUGCCGCGUGUGUGAAGAAGGCCUUCGGGUUGUAAAGCACUUUUGUCCGGAAAGAAAUCCUUGGCCCUAAUACGGUCGGGGGAUGACGGUACCGGAAGAAUAAGCACCGGCUAACUACGUG
rnacentral:rRNA from 1 species